UACGUAGGGGGCAAGCGUUGUCCGGAAUCAUUGGGCGUAAAGCGCGUGUAGGCGGUUCAGUAAGUCUGCUGUGAAAGUCCAGGGCUCAACCCUGGGAUGCCGGUGGAUACUGCUGGGCUAGAGUACGGAAGAGGCGAGUGGAAUUCCAGGUGUAGCGGUGAAAUGCGUAGAUAUCUGGAGGAAUACCGGUGGCGAAGGCGGCAUCCUGGACCGACAUUGACGCUGAGGAGCGAAAGCUAGGGGAGCAAACGGG
rnacentral:rRNA from 1 species